CUAGAGAGGAGAGCCUGGCCCUUCUGCCAGCUCCCUCCAGUCUGAGGAAGAAGAUGGUUUCUCUGUCUUUUUUGUCUUUUUAGGGCUACACCUGCUGCAUAUGGAAGUUCUCAGGCUAGGGGUCGAAUCAGAGCUACAGCUGGUGGCCUUCACCAAAGCCACAGCAAAGCAGGAUCCAAGCCUCGUUGGGACCUAAACCACAGCUCAUGACAAUGCUGGCUCCUUAACCCACUGAUUAAGGCCAGGGAUCGAACCCGGGUCCUUAUGGAUACUAGUCAGAUUCGUUUCUGCUCAGCCAUGGAAGUUGUUACUGCUGAGCCAUGACAGGAACUCCUGAAUAUACCUAAUUUUACACAUGAGUAUAUUAAGGCAAAUCUAUUUCUUUCUAAAUUUGUUUAUUGAGGCAAGUUUUUUAGUUGUAAGAUCUGUUUAUUGAAAAAUAUUAUUGAUGCAAAUAUCCAUCAGUAGUCUGAAUCGAGUUAGACAACUCACCAUAAACUAAAUCCAUUAUGCUAAAAAGAGCAAUUUUGAAUUAAAAUUGUAGAGCCACUUAAACUCUACCUCUGCAUUUAGGAAAUGUCAACUAUUGGUGGUAGAAUUUUAAAUACUAUCAACCGCUGGGGUCUUCUGAGAGGGGCUGAGUGCGCUGUGCAUGUGGAAGGGAUGUGGAUGAUGGCAGCCAGGGGACAGAUGGUAGCGUGCCAUUCCAUGAGGAAGCACAAACUAGUCAUAAGCAGAGACUGUGUAAAGAGAUGCUAACCAGUCCCCAAAUAGCCAGAGCUGGAUAAUUUGAUCCUUGAUCGCAAAGAAGGAAAAAGUCAAAUUCCCUGCUGAAUUUCAACUAAACAAACAAAGGAACAAACCCUCAGGAAUGGUGAUGAGAAACAGCUCAAGUUUUAGGAAUUCAUUCUAGAAAGCAAAAGAUGUUGGUUUAUUUGAUUUUUAGGACAACACAUGUGGCAUAUGGAGAUUCCCAGGCUAGGGGUCAAAUGAAUACUAGUCAGUUCAUUACCACUGAGCCACAACGGAACCCUGAUGUUGGUUAAUUUAAUGUACAUCAUUGGUAAUUGAAAGUUAUCUGGCUGCCUUCCACUCUAAUUUAUGAGAUAUAAUUUUCUAGCCAACAUUUAUUUAAUUGAUAGGACAUUUUACUUGUUCCCAUAAAAUGAGCUAGAUUUUUAAAAAAUCAGCAAAAAAAAAAAAAAAAAAAAAAAAAAAAAAAGUAAAGGAGAGUUCCCGUUAUGACGCAGCAGAAACAAAUCCAACUAGGAACCAUGAGGUUGUAGGUCCGAUCCCUGGCCUUGCUCAGUGGGUUAAGUAUCUGGCAUUGCCAUGAGCUGUGAUGUAGGUCGCAGAUGUGGCUCAGAUCUGGCAUUGCUGCAGCUGUGGCAUAGGCCGGCAGCUGUGGCUCCAAUUAGACCCCUAGUCUGGGAACCUCCAUAUGCUGUGGGUGUGGCCAUUAAAAAAAAAAAAUCUGGUUAGGACAAAUUAGGAUAACCAAAAAGAACAACAAUAUUACCAAAAGCAAAUACAUACUAGGAAUAAAAUUUGAACUACUAUUUUCAGAGCUUUAUCAGUUACUAUAAGCUUUUCUCUGAGUGGAAAUAUUAGUCAAUAGAAAUUAUUUUUUGAAUAAAAAAUAGCUUUAAAAUAUAACUGGCUAAAUUUAUCUAAAGAAAGUUAGGACUUGAUAGUUUUGAAAACUCAUAUCUCUAUCAUUUGAUUUGCCAAAUGCCAAAACAUAGUCAUGAGAUAUAAUUUCCAAUACUUUUAUUCCAUCAUAUCUAAAAAUAACACCAAACCCGCCCCCCUCCACCACUCAUGGCAUAUGGAAGUUCCAGGCCAGGGAUCUAAUCCCAGCCACAGUUGCAGUCUACCCCAUAACUAUGGCAGCACUAGAUCCUUAACCCACUGCACCACAGUGGGAACUCCAAAAAAUAGCACCAACUCUAACCUUGACUGAGGUAGUAAGGAACAAUAAAAACGUUGGGUUCUAUACUUUUGAUACAAAAAAGAUAGAGCUCUGAGCUGACUUGUGAGCAUAAAAUAGGCAUUAACAUACAGGAGGCAUUAGGUGUCACUGCUGCUAUAAUUCAGUGAUUCAAAAACCUGGUGUUUGACUAAACUUCUAGAUGGUUAAUGAGAUUUCCUUCUGAAAGCCUUUGGAAUCUUGGCGCAUUUCAUCAUAUUUAAUGGGUGUUGUUUUUGUUUGUAAUUUUACCAUAAAGUCAGGAUGUGACUUGACUUGUUUUAGUUAAAGGCUGAGAAAUAACAGGUGCCGGGGAAUGCCAAAUAUCACACCUGGACAAGAUGAGCUGACGACAGCCUUAUAAAGUUGGUACAUCACUCAGCUCAAGCAGUAGAGACUUGAUGUGGAGAAGAUGGGGUGGAGAGGUGGGGGGUUCUCCCCCCCACCAUCCCACAGCUGUGGUGGUGGAUGCUUCACCCCAACCUUAAGCCGAGGGGUGAAGGGCUUCUGCAGAACUAAGUGGAGAGCUUGGUGCAAGUAUAAAUGGACCGAGACUGUGUUGCUGGAUCAGCCUGAGCGGCAGCGUGGAAGAAAAGUACAGCUUCCUCCUACCACCUGAGGGCACAGGUGCGCCUUCCUCCGUGAUGUGGGGCAGGGCCGUGUCAUUGACGAAAGGGGUGUUGUCUGGGGCAGGCCUGCUGCAGCUCAGCAGCACAAAACCUGGGGAGGAUCUUCAUCCGUUAGAAGAGGAUGAAAAUGACCAUCCAGCCACAUCAAUGUCCUCUUCUUCAGAAUUCAGUCCGAGGUACCCAGAGGGGAUUCUCUAAAAAAGCAUGGAAGCGCCUUCUUCCCCCGCAAACUCCUCAGCCGCAGGACCCCACACGUCUGAGAGCGCCCACACACGGGAGCUUGGAGCCGGACCAAGCUCCACCUCCUUUCCCAGGUGGACCAGGCCAGCCUCUCAGGGUGUCAGGUGGGGCCCCAGCAGGAGAGCAAAAUGGGAUGGGGGAUCGCAAGGGCGUUAACUGCUUUUUGUAUUUUCUGCGUUUCUUAUACCCUGACAAGUGGAGCCUUGCUGACCUUAAAGAGACUGCCCAUCCAGGAACUGGCUGUUGACCUUAGUGAUUGCCCGCUCCCAGAAGUAGCCUUUCCUGUGCAAAUCUGCCUGCUCAGAGCCGGCAGCCCACCAUCUCCUUCACAGAUUCACACAUGCUGAGCCUCAUCCCCCUGGUUCAGGUACCCUUAUACCCAGAGCCCUGCAGGUAUCAAACUAGAUGAUCCUAAGCCCAUUCGCCCACCUUGCCUGCCACCACAGAAAACACAAUAAAGGUGCUUGUGCCAUUUCCCCCAACCCUUCUGCCUCCCAGUGGACCCAGGUGCCCCCGCCCAAGUGGCUCUGUGCAUCCCAUCACA
rnacentral:lncRNA from 1 species